UCCAUUUGACUGAGCCAUGUUGGUAUCCUGGUACAUUGAGUUUGAUACCUUCACUCCUGCAGCCAAGAGAGGGCUGCCAGUCGCAAGGAUUAUGAGACACAUGCUCCCGCAGGCGAUUCUUGCUUGUGCGAUUGACGAUGAAUCGAUAAUACUAUAAUGAGCAAUCACCAUGUAGUCGAUUUUACAGACGAUGGCAACAAGGUGAAUGAACAGGUUACUGCCAUACUGGAGGAUGGGCGGAAAUUUUUAAGGUGAUCUUUUGGUUGGUGCAGAUGGCAAGGUACCAUGUGUUCCUUGAUCACAAACAAUAUUUCGUCCCCUCGGAUGUUG